UACAGAGGUCUCAAGCGUUGUUCGGAUUCAUUGGGCGUAAAGGGCGCGUAGGCUGCGGGGCAAGUCGGGUGUGAAAUCUCAGAGCUCAACUCUGAAACUGCACUCGAUACUGCUUUGCUUGAGGACUGGAGAGGAGAUUGGAAAUUCACGGUGUAGCAGUGAAAUGCGUAGAUAUCGUGAGGAAGACCAGUGGCGAAGGCGGAUCUCUGGACAGUUCCGUGACGCUGGAGGCGACGAAGGCCAGGGGAGCAAAACGGG
rnacentral:rRNA from 1 species